AUUUCGUUACUAAAGUUUUUUGUUAUUUUUUCGGGAUAUUGUUUACGUGUUAGUGGACGCAUACGAAAAGGUUGACUGGUUGUCCACAUGAAGGCUAAGAUUAAAUCUGAAAUUAAAAUGGAAAAUGAUAUGGAGAAAGUUAUAAAGGAAUUUGUGGAAUUUAGGAGGUUUAGUAUAUGGUUAUAGAAAAGAACUAGGAUGGCAAAAAGGUAAAUAAGUGCAAAUGCGCGGUUGAGGAUGUGGUGUCGUGGAUUCACCUCAACGGAGUGAAGACCGCCGGUGUUAACAGUGGUGGUGACGGCGGCGGAGGUGGUGGUGGUUUCCAUUUUU